AGGCAGCAGUGAGGAAUAUUGGACAAUGGGCGCAAGCCUGAUCCAGCCAUGCCGCGUGCAGGAUGACGGUCCUAUGGAUUGUAAACUGCUUUUAUACGAGAAGAAACACUCCGACGUGUCGGAGCUUGACGGUAUCGUAAGAAUAAGGAUCGGCUAACUCCGUGCCAGCAGCCGCGGUAAUACGGAGGAUCCAAGCGUUAUCCGGAAUCAUUGGGUUUAAAGGGUCCGUAGGCGGUUUAAUAAGUCAGUGGUGAAAGCCCAUCGCUCAACGGUGGAACGGCCAUUGAUACUGUUAAACUUGAAUUAUUAGGAAGUAACUAGAAUAUGUAGUGUAGCGGUGAAAUGCUUAGAGAUUACAUGGAAUACCAAUUGCGAAGGCAGGUUACUACUAAUGGAUUGACGCUGAUGGACGAAAGCGUGGGUAGCGAACAGGAUUAGAUACCCUGGUAGUCCACGCCGUAAACGAUGGAUACUAGCUGUUGGAAGCAAUUUCAGUGGCUAAGCGAAAGUGAUAAGUAUCCC
rnacentral:rRNA from 1 species